CUUGCAUUGCGUAAACGUUGUCGCCGUUAAAUUCUGACUGCGGACCCGAAGGGUGUGCAGGACCCAGGACUUACCCGAAGGGCGCACUUCUUGGGGAUGCGCAUCCCGUAGUUGCAGGAGAAGGGUAAAGGUACGGAACGGGAGC
ensembl:misc_RNA